UACGUAGGGUGCGAGCGUUAAUCGGAAUUACUGGGCGUAAAGCGUGCGCAGGCGGUCUUGCAAGACAGGUGUGAAAUCCCCGGGCUUAACCUGGGAACUGCACUUGUGACUGCAAGGCUGGAGUACGGCAGGAGGGGGAUGGAAUUCCGCGUGUAGGCAAGUGAAAUGCGUAGAUAUGCGGAGGAACACCGAUGGCGAAGGCAAUCCCCUGGGCCUGUACUGACGCUCAUGCACGAAAGCGUGGGGAGCAAACAGG
rnacentral:rRNA from 1 species